GAUGAACGCUGGCGGCGUGCCUAAUACAUGCAAGUCGAGCGAACAGAUGAGGAGCUUGCUCCUCUGACGUUAGCGGCGGACGGGUGAGUAACACGUGGAUAACCUACCUAUAAGACUGGGAUAACUUCGGGAAACCGGAGCUAAUACCGGAUAAUAUAUUGAACCGCAUGGUUCAAUAGUGAAAGACGGUUUUGCUGUCACUUAUAGAUGGAUCCGCGCCGCAUUAGCUAGUUGGUAAGGUAACGGCUUACCAAGGCAACGAUGCGUAGCCGACCUGAGAGGGUGAUCGGCCACACUGGAACUGAGACACGGUCCAGACUGCUACGGGAGGCAGCAGUAGGGAAUCUUCCGCAAUAGGCGAAAGCUUGACGGAGCAACGACGCGUGAGUGAUGAAGGUCUUCGGAUCGUAAAACUCUGUUAUUAGGGAAGAACAAAUGUGUAAGUAACUAUGCACGUCUUGACGGUACCUAAUCAGAAAGCCACGGCUAACUACGUG
rnacentral:rRNA from 1 species